rnacentral:rRNA from 1 species
UCGAAUCUUUGAACGCAUAUUGCGCUCGAGCCUCCGGGCAAGAGCAUGUCUGCCUCAGCGUCGGUUUACACCCUCACCCCUCCCACUUUGUUGGGUUGUUUGGCAACUUUGCCAGCAUAGGUGGUGGAUCUGGCUUCCCCAAUCUGCCGUCUGGUAGAUUGGGUUGGCUGAAGAAUAGAGGUUUAAGCAAGGACCCGUUAUGGGCUUCAACUGGAUAGGUAGCACCGGCUUGUGCCGACUACACGAAGUUGAUGCUCGUGGAUCUUGCUAGAGGCCAAGCAGGAACGUGCCCAUGGCACGUCUAAACUUUCGACCUGAGCUCAGGCAAGGCUACCCGCUGAACUUAAGCAUAUCAAUAAGCGGAGGAA